rnacentral:lncRNA from 1 species
GUAUAGAUUUGACGUUGUUUUUGGACCGUCGUGACAGUGGAAGGAUUUAGUCUGAUUUUAUUUUCCUUUUCAUGGCUUUCUGGUGAUGGCUCAUUCGUCAUUGCUGGUUUUGUGUUUAUUUUAGAUUUAUUUUAUUUUCUUUUACUUUUUUCUUUUUCUUUUAGACAUGAACUUGCAUGUGUGAGAGUUUUUAUCAUUCUGUUUUUUGUAUAAUUCUAAUGUUUACACUGAUAAUUGAUGAGAUACAGUUAUCGUUCAUUCGUAGUUCACUUCAGGAAUAUCAACGUUACACUUUUAAGUAAUUUAGCUGCUUUUAAAUUAUAAGAAAUUGAGAUUUCAAUAAGAUUCCAAUCACUGAUGAUUUUUUUCUUCAGUUGAAUUUGAGUUUGAUUGCGUGCAUAGAAGUUUUAGUAUUAGAUUUUUAUUUGUCUUCUUCGUCAAAAUCUUUGAAAAUUUUAAUUUGAAUUUUUUAAUAUAAAAUUGUGGUAGCUGAAGCGGUGAUU